AGAGUUUGAUCCUGGCUCAGGAUGAACGCUAGCUACAGGCUUAACACAUGCAAGUCGAGGGGCAGCAUGAACUUAGCUUGCUAAGUUUGAUGGCGACCGGCGCACGGGUGAGUAACACGUAUCCAACCUGCCGAUGACUCGGGGAUAGCCUUUCGAAAGAAAGAUUAAUACCCGAUGGCAUAGUUCUUCCGCAUGGUGGAACUAUUAAAGAAUUUCGGUCAUCGAUGGGGAUGCGUUCCAUUAGGUUGUUGGCGGGGUAACGGCCCACCAAGCCUUCGAUGGAUAGGGGUUCUGAGAGGAAGGUCCCCCACAUUGGAACUGAGACACGGUCCAAACUCCUACGGGAGGCAGCAGUGAGGAAUAUUGGUCAAUGGACGAGAGUCUGAACCAGCCAAGUAGCGUGAAGGAUGACUGCCCUAUGGGUUGUAAACUUCUUUUAUACGGGAAUAAAGUGAGGCACGUGUGCCUUUUUGUAUGUACCGUAUGAAUAAGGAUCGGCUAACUCCGUGCCAGCAGCCGCGGUAAUACGGAGGAUCCGAGCGUUAUCCGGAUUUAUUGGGUUUAAAGGGAGCGUAGGCGGACGCUUAAGUCAGUUGUGAAAGUUUGCGGCUCAACCGUAAAAUUGCAGUUGAUACUGGGUGUCUUGAGUACAGUAGAGGCAGGCGGAAUUCGUGGUGUAGCGGUGAAAUGCUUAGAUAUCACGAAGAACUCCGAUUGCGAAGGCAGCUUGCUGGACUGUAACUGACGCUGAUGCUCGAAAGUGUGGGUAUCAAACAGGAUUAGAUACCCUGGUAGUCCACACAGUAAACGAUGAAUACUCGCUGUUUGCGAUAUACAGUAAGCGGCCAAGCGAAAGCGUUAAGUAUUCCACCUGGGGAGUACGCCGGCAACGGUGAAACUCAAAGGAAUUGACGGGGGCCCGCACAAGCGGAGGAACAUGUGGUUUAA
rnacentral:rRNA from 1 species